rnacentral:rRNA from 1 species
UACGAAGGGGGCUAGCGUUGUUCGGAAUUACUGGGCGUAAAGCGCACGUAGGCGGAUUGUUAAGUCGGGGGUGAAAUCCUGAGGCUCAACCUCAGAACUGCCUUCGAUACUGGCGAUCUUGAGUUCGGAAGAGGUUGGUGGAACAGCUAGUGUAGAGGUGAAAUUCGUAGAUAUUAGCUAGAACACCAGUGGCGAAGGCGGCCAACUGGACGAAUACUGACGCUGAGACACGAAAGCGUGGGGAGCAAACAGG